rnacentral:rRNA from 1 species
AUGCACGCUGGCGGCGUGCCUAAUACCUGCAAGUCGAGCGAACGGACGAGAAGCUUGCUUUUCUGAUGUUAGCGGCGGACGGGUGAGUAACACGUGGAUAACCUACCUAUAAGACUGGGAUAACUUCGGGAAACCGGAGCUAAUACCGGAUAAUAUUUUGAACCGCAUGGUUCAAAAGUGAAAGACGGUCUUGCUGUCACUUAUAGAUGGAUCCGCGCUGCAUUAGCUAGUUGGUAAGGUAACGGCUUACCAAGGCAACGAUGCAUAGCCGACCUGAGAGGGUGAUCGGCCACACUGGAACUGAGACACGGUCCAGACUCCUACGGGAGGCAGCAGUAGGGAAUCUUCCGCAAUGGGCGAAAGCCUGACGGAGCAACGCCGCGUGAGUGAUGAAGGUCUUCGGAUCGUAAAACUCUGUUAUUAGGGAAGAACAUAUGUGUAAGUAACUGUGCACACCUUGACGGUACCUAAUCAGAAAGCCACGGCUAACUACGUG